CGGGGGAGGCUGGAUCCUGAGCUGUGUCCCUGCGCCCUGUGCUCCCGGUGCCCUGUGCUCCCGGUCUGCGCUGUUGGAUUUGCGCUCCCGCCCCGCAGCCCCUU
rnacentral:pre_miRNA from 1 species